AAGGAAGUGAAGGGGAGGGCCAAUCAAAUUGUUUCUUCCUAUGACUCGCGACCAAUAGGAAAAGGGAAACGGCACACCCGGCAGGAGGAGCUCCAGUCUUCACCUUCACCUUGGACGUCAUCUCCUGGCUUCCAGUGCAAACUCUUCAACUUCUGUGGCAGAUCCUUCAGCCUUCCAGUGUAGACUCUUCAGCUUUCUAUCGCAGACCUAUCGGCCUUCUGUUAUGGACUCACACGGGACACUGCAAUGAGCUCCAGACCUUCAACUAAAUCCUUCAGGCUCCAAUGUGCAGACAGAUCCUCUGCACCCUUCCUCAUCUGACUGUGGGCGUCCAUUGUAUAAAGAUAGGUGCCCCCAUCAAAGGAAGAAGUUGUUCUGAGAAAAUAAAGACAUUAUACAGAAGGCGGUACAGGUAAGAGAAUCCCUGUGAUAUUUGUAGAGAUC
ensembl:lncRNA